GAAUCCCGUGAACCAUCGAGUCUUUGAACGCAAGUUGCGCCCGAAGCCUUCGGGCCGAGGGCACGCCUGCCUGGGCGUCACGCAUCGCGUCGUCCCCCCCCGCCUGUCCGCUCCGGGCGGGUCGCGGAGGGGCGGAGACUGGCCUCCCGUGCGCCUCCGUCGUGCGGCCGGCCC
rnacentral:rRNA from 1 species